ACUGCCGUUCCAAGCGUGCUGUAUUUUUACCGUUUUCUACUAAUUUGCGAAGUGCUAUAUUAAAAUAAACUUUAAAAAAGUCAAAUAAAAGACGGUGACAAUUGCGGCGCAUAAUUCGUUUCGGUCCAUCACACGUAAAUCGGUGUUUAAAACGAAAUCUUAAUCUACGAAAAAUUAUGGCCUCCCUACUCCUUUUUCUUCGAAUUUAAACCGGCGUUUGCGUGUAGGAUCUAGGGACGCUACCAGUAAAUUUUGAUUUUGUUGUUAAAUUCAACCGUUAAACUAACAAAAACCGACGGGGAAGUGUUCGCAAAUUGGUCUUUUGGGUGUCGUGCCAAAUUUUAUCCUAAGAACAAGAAGAUGGCGUCCUAUUUUAAAUUUACUUUUUUUCGUUUAAAACUUAACGUUUUGUGAAUCUUUUUCGCUUUUGAAAUCAAGACGCCUAAGAUUUCAUGGAUAUGUUGAUUUGAGUUUUUGGCGAACGAGUAGUGCGCGGUUUGUGUGCAGUGUUUCAUCUCUACUUUGGUUGAUGGUUCUUCCCAGGAGAGACUGAAUUAUUGAGGCUAAAGGAUUGCAGAAAGGCGGCCUCAUAAGGUAUAGGAUUUUUCCUUUUCUGCAUGGGUGUAUUAGCAUGUCAUUUUUUGUACGGGGGGGAAAAGUGAAUAGUGAAUAUCAACCAGAAGGAAGACCGAUCAUUGUUCUGAGCAUGAGUUUCGUGUAAUAGCCCUAUGAAAGUUGAAAACAGUCUUCCCUGUCUGUCAUCCUGGUGACGAAAGAUUGACUGCAAUGAUUCUUAUGAUAGUCUUUUUCGCAUCAGCGUCCAUCAGUUUCCUUCAUAUUGCUGAGUGUGACUAAGUUCACGGUCAGACCAACUUUGUGAAGCAAACAGAUUUUCUCUGCGAAUAAGCCUAAAGAAUCAUUGGAGCCGUUUUUUCCGUUCCCAAGCUGAGCGACUUUGAGGAUUGUUAAACUUUCAUUUAUUAUUGCACGAAGUUCAGCUUAGAGGAAGGUAAGUGCGUGGUCAUAAUAUAUUAAUGAAUUAUUUCAUCAACCAAAACACUCUUUGUGUGGUUACCUACUUACUAAACUCAUCAAUUGUUACAGAGCCAUCGACGUCGCUCAACCUGCUGGUGAGGAUUACGCCGACCGCCAGUGCUGGAUUAAGGAUUUCUGAGGCAGGGGGUUACCUCCGGGCUACGAAAGCCAC